GCGGUUUGCGGAAAAAUAUAAAAUACCUGGAGUGGUUGGAUGCGUAGACGGAACACACAUUGGAUUACAAAAGCCAAUUAGAGACGAGCACAUGUACUUCAACAGGAAAGGUUACCAUAGUCUUAACGUUAUGCUAAUUUGUGACCACACUUGCAAGAUUCUUGCCAUAAAUUGUCAAUAUAGAGGUGCAGCCCAUGACUCCUGAAAAGGUCCACCACAUGUAAUUGUUUGGUGAGGUUUUCCCACAAACGGUUGGCCGUUGCUUUUCCCUGCGAGCAGUUUGGGAGUAAAUUCUUUGCCAAGUCAGGGUGUUCGGCCAUGAA